rnacentral:rRNA from 1 species
UACGGGGGGGGCAAGCGUUGUUCGGAAUUACUGGGCGUAAAGGGCUCGUAGGCGGCCAACUAAGUCCGACGUGAAAUCCCAAGGCUUAACCUUGGAACUGCGCCGGAUACUGGAUGGCUUGAAUUCGGGAGAGGGAUGCAGAAUUCCAGGUGUAGCGGUGAAAUGCGUAGAUAUCUGGAGGAAUACCGGUGGCGAAGGCGGCAUCCUGGACCGACAUUGACGCUGAGGAGCGAAAGCUAGGGGAGCAAACGGG